rnacentral:rRNA from 1 species
GCAAGUCGAGCGGAAACGACACUAACAAUCCUUUGGGUGCGUUAAUGGGCGUCGAGCGGUGGACGGGUGAGUAAUGCCUAGGAAAUUGCCUUGAUGUGGGGGAUAACCAUUGGAAACGAUGGCUAAUACCGCAUAAUGCCUACGGGCCAAAGAGGGGAUCUUCGGACCUCUCGCGUCAAGAUAUGCCUAGGUGGGAUUAGCUAGUUGGUGAGGUAAUGGCUCACCAAGGCGACGAUCCCUAGCUGGUCUGAGAGGAUGAUC